rnacentral:lncRNA from 1 species
AAAACUCGGGACUUAAACAAUAUUCAUAAAGGAGGAGAGGUACUACAAACUUAAGAAAAAUAGAUGAAACAUUCUUGGCAGGAACUCGAACAAAAUCCAGUAAUACGAACAAAAUUAAAGAACUCAACAGGAGACAUAAUACUGGAAAGCAUAGUGAAGAACAUGUAGGAAAAAAUAGCAGAGAUUAGCAUGUGAGCGAAGUCUACAUG